GUUAUGUACAGAACUCAAACAGUUCCAGCUGCGUCUGCUAGCCUUUUGUGAUUCUUGCAUUUUACUAGCUGGCCUUCCCUGUCUUCAUGUGCAUCCUGAUGAGCAAAAGGGAUGCUGGAUGUUGAGUUGGGAUGGACUUCUUAGAGUGAUUGUGUUGGUCAGGGUUUAGUGACAGGUUACCAACAAUUACCAGAAUUUUAGCAAAGCCAAAGCUCUCUGUCUGAGACCAAGGAUCAUGCCUAAAGUUGACCAAGAUUUUACUUGCUGUUUGUCUCCUUGUCCUGGCUUUAUUUGCUGAGCUGUCUGAGCUGCCUGCCUGCUCUGUCACUAGGUGUCAUGUGGUGCCGGUCCCUUUGCCUCUCUUCUUAACCAGUGCUCCUUAGAUGUGAAGCCCUACUCUGGAUUUUACUGUAAGGUUUUUAUGGAUCUGUUCUUCCUAAUCAUGGUAGUCCUCUUAGCUCUUCCUGUGACAGAGUUGCCGAUGGCCACCACUUUGCCCUUCUUCCUUUCUCUGUGAGCAUGCUUUACCUAGUGUAAAACUUGAAAGGAGGAAGUUAGAUAGCUUAGAUUUGAAGUCGCCCAUUGGGACUUUGGGACUUUUCACAUUGGGACUUUCAAGAGAUGAUGUCUAUGAUUACCGUAUAAGUAGCAAUUCCUGUGAUUCCAAUGGCCUUGAUACCUCUCUACUUUGGCUUGAGUAGAACACUUCUGUAACAUGCCCACUAUGACUAGAGAUGGAUGACUGACUUGCUCACUAAUACUUCUCUGAGGUUUUGAAAACUGGGAAUCUGAGAGGCUGGUGUUUAAAUAAGAGAAUCUAUAAACCUCUCGUUUUUUAACAGUUGUAGGUUCCCUAGCACUUGUGAAAGUGGUACAGGGUCACCUUGCAUAAAACUGUCCAGACCAAGAAACUUCAGACUCUGUCUCUUCGUCUGAGAACAAACUCCUGCCAUGCCGUGGCUCUGUAGUGUGUUGCUACAAGUUAAGAGAUACCAAUACAUGUCCACCCUGUACCAGGUACUGUCUUAAGUUGGGGACAUUCAUUUUAAUUUCUUAAGGGUCACACACUUCUGAGGAACUGAUAAUUGCUAUAGGCCUUUUCUCCCAAACAUAAAGAUAUUCAAGAUUCUGUAUACAGCUUUAUGAGUCCACAUAUUUUAAGACUUUAGUUGAGAAGACACAGGGUUUUUGUUUUUUUUUUUUUUUUUAAACUGGGCAGUGGAGGCAGAGGUGGGAAGAUCUCUUGUGAUUUUUGAAGCCAGCCUGGCCUUUGGACCAAGUUUCAAGACAGUCAGAAUACACAGAAAAUCUAUGUUGAAGCCUCCACUCUUCUUCCUAAAAAAGAAGACAUUGUCCUCUCUGAAUUCAGCCCCACUGAAGUGGCAUGCAGUAGGGAAGUAGAUGUACUGUCUACCCUGGGUGAAAGGCCUUAGUGAAGGGAACAGAUAGUUUGACUGUGAAUGAGACAAGGAGACAGGAUGCUGAGGGCUAAUGUUCCUGGAAUCUGAAGUUGAAGAAUAGGAAAGCUAAAUCAGAGGUCUGAAAAGGUACUAGAGAGAUACUCAGGGGUUGAGUGCAAUAUUUGUAUACCAUUCUUCCUAAGGACUUAAGUUUGGUUCCCAGCCCCCAAGUCAAGUGACUGGCUCACAAUUGCCUGGAAUACCAGCUUCCAGGGAAUCUCAUGCUUUUGGUCUUUGGGACAUUUUUCCUAACAUACAUAUAUACACACAAGGAUGGACACACACAAACACACACAUGGUCAUAAUUAAAAAUAAAAUGUUUCUAAGUCUUCUUAAUAAAAAGAUCUGGAAAACCAGAAGAAACCAAACCAGCAAACAUGCACAGUGUAUUUUAUAAUGGUUGAGGAUUCUGAUCUUGCCACAGUUGUGGAAGAUGAACUGGGAGGUGGGCUGGAUGUAACACUGAAAAGGGGGCUGUGUGUAGAAUGGAUGAGAACUGGACAAGUUUCUCACUUUGUGAAUUUUAGAAUGUUAUAAUGGCUGUUUAAUACUGUACUCAAGGAAGUUUGUUCUUUCUUUAGUUCAGUGGCUCGGUGGUUUACGAGUGCACAGUGAGUUGCAUAGGC
rnacentral:lncRNA from 1 species